UCGGAGCCCAGGACGCCGCCAUGUCUUCCGGGGCCAGCGUGAGCGCCUUGCAGCGCCUGGUGGAGCAGCUCAAGCUGGAGGCCGGCGUGGAGAGGAUCAUGGUCUCUCAGGCGGCUGCAGAGCUUCAACAAUAUUGCAUGCAGAAUGCCUGCAAGGAUGCCCUGCUGGUGGGUGUUCCAGCUGGAAGCAAUCCCUUUCGGGAGCCCAGAUCCUGUGCUUUACUCUGAAGACUGUAGAGAAGAAGUUUGCUGAAGAAUGCUUUCAAGCACAAACUGAUGAAUGACUGCCUCCAAAUUUCAAGAAAACACUUCUCUAACCACAGGACUUCUAGAUGUUUCACAGGACCUUUCCUGUGACCUGGUCCUUUAGCCAACAUUCUACAGAAACUGAUGUUUCUACUCAAAUAAGGAAACUGGGUGAAGGUGUAGAUUUUAAAUAAUAAUGGCCUGAUUCUUUGCUGAAGUGCUUUAUACUUAAACAAAAACCUUACCGCCAAAUAUACCAAGAUACACUUCUUUCAUUAAGUGAAUUACUAUCGUUUCUAUGCCUGGAAUGUUAUGUAUGUUUUAUUUACUAGAUGUUUACAUUUUGGGAAGGAAAACAGUAUUCUUUGUUAAAAAAUUGAAUAUUUGUUGUUUGCUGUUCCCAACUAAGAUCUUUAUACCAUAACAAAAUUUGCUCUUUUCUCAUGAAUUUAUAAUUU